GACGAACGCUGGCGGCGUGCUUAACACAUGCAAGUCGAACGGAAAGGCCCUGCUUUUGUGGGGUGCUCGAGUGGCGAACGGGUGAGUAACACGUGAGUAACCUGCCCUUGACUUUGGGAUAACUUCAGGAAACUGGGGCUAAUACCGGAUAGGAGCUCCUGCUGCAUGGUGGGGGUUGGAAAGUUUCGGCGGUUGGGGAUGGACUCGCGGCUUAUCAGCUUGUUGGUUGGGUAGUGGCUUACCAAGGCUUUGACGGGUAGCCGGCCUGAGAGGGGGACCGGCGACAUUGGGACUGAGAGACGGACCAGACUCGUACGGGAGGCAGCGGUGGGGAGUAUUGCACAGUGGGCGGAAGCCUGAUGCAGAAACGCCGCGUGCGGGAUGAAGGCCUUCGGGUUGUAAACCGCUUUCGCCUGUGACGAAGCGUGAGUGACGGUAAUGGGUAAAGAAGCACCGGCUAACUACGUG
rnacentral:rRNA from 1 species